rnacentral:rRNA from 1 species
GACGAACCGUGCGAACGUUGUUCGGAAUCACUGGGCUUAAAGGGCGCGUAGGCGGGUCCGCACGCCCGGGGUGAAAGCCCCCGGCUCAACCGGGGAAGGGCCUCGGGUACGGCGGACCUCGAGGGGGGCAGGGGCGCGCGGAACUUCCGGUGGAGCGGUGAAAUGCGUAGAGAUCGGAAGGAACGCCGGUGGCGAAAGCGGCGCGCUGGGCCCGCCCUGACGCUGAGGCGCGAAAGCCAGGGGAGCUAACGGG